CCUACGGUUGGCAGCAGUGAGGAAUAUUGGUCAAUGGGCGUAAGCCUGAACCAGCCAAGUCGUGUGAGGGAUGAAGGUUCUAUGGAUCGUAAACCUCUUUUAUCAGGGAAUAAAGUCCGGGACGUGUCCUAUUUUGUAUGUACCUUAUGAAUAAGGAUCGGCUAACUCCGUGCCAGCAGCCGCGGUAAUACGGAGGAACCGAGCGUUAUCCGGAUUUAUUGGGUUUAAAGGGUGCGUAGGCGGCCUUUUAAGUCAGCGGGGAAAGUUUGUGGGUCAACCAUAGAAUUGCCGUUGAAACUGGGGGGCUUGAGUAUGUGAGAGGCAGGCGGAAUGCGUGGUGUAGCGGUGAAAUGCUUAGAUAUCACGCAGAACCCCGAUUGCGAAGGCAGCCUGCCAGGCCAUGACUGACGCUGAUGCACGAAAGCGUGGGGAUCGAACAGGAUUAGAUACCCCUGUAGUC
rnacentral:rRNA from 1 species